rnacentral:rRNA from 1 species
AUGCAGUUGGUCACGAGUGGUCGGACGGCGGUUAACAUAAACGGGGAGGUUGGCUCAUACUUCUUGACGGGCCAAGGGGUCCGACAGGGGGACCCGAUUUCCCCCUUUCUAUUCAACCUUGUGGUUGAUGCCCUCGCCUCGAUUCUUGACUUGGCCAAGCGCGCCGGCCAUAUUAGGGGAAUUUGCCCUCAUCUGAUUGCGAAUGGGGGUCUGACCCACCUCCAAUAUGCCGACGGCACCAUUAUGAUGGUGGAAGGCUCGGAUGAGGAUAUUCAGAAUCUAAAGUUCCUCCUCCUUUGCUUCCAGGAAAUGUCAGGCCUCACGAUUAACUUUGCCAAGAGUGAGGUGAUGGUCAUAGGAUAUUCUCCGAUGGAAGCUCAGCGAAUUGCCAAUCGCUUGAACUGCCGUUUGGGAACAUUUCCGACCACCUACCUAGGCGCUCCUCUUAGUGACUCUCGUCUGCUUGAGAAGGAUUUUCGCCCAAUAAUCUGUUGGAAAUAUGCCCUAGAGGCAAUAAUAAAUGGUUAUUAUUAUAUUUCUUUGUUCAUGGUAAUUGUCUAUUGUUCAUGCUAUAAUUGUGUUAUCCGGAAAUCGUAA